rnacentral:rRNA from 1 species
UACAGAUCGUGUGAAUCAUCGAAUCUUUGAACGCACCUUGCACCGGCAGAGUCCAUCUGCCGGUAUACCUGUUUGAGCAUCAUUUGCAUUAUCUGCCGAGCGCGUUUGCUUGGCGGGAGGUGGGAUCCAUGCGCCAUGCAUGUUUCCUCAAAUGCAGGGCGAACGCAGCGACGCCGGUGCGCCGAGUGAGGAUAUUUGCGCAAGCAAACGAACCGCGAGACGCCGUCGGACGAAACUGCGCAAGCGCACAAGUGGGUGGACGUACGGAGGAAGAGGAGGCGCGGUCUCUGGCGGCACAGCCAAAGGAUUCUUGCCUGCUGCCUCUUGCUCCGUGGCUGCUGCCCUACAGCGAACAAGUGUGAUCUCAAAUCAGGCAAGACGACCCGCUGAACUUAAGCAUAUCAAUAAGCGGAGG